AUACGGAGGGUGCAAGCGUUACUCGGAAUCACUGGGCGUAAAGCGCGCGCAGGCGGCUAUUUAAGUUGGAUGUGAAAGCCUACGGCUCAACCGUAGAACUGCAUCCGAAACUAUUUAGCUAGAGUGUGGGAGAGGAAGAUGGAAUUAGUUGUGUAGGGGUAAAAUCCGUAGAGAUAACUAGGAAUACCAAAAGCGAAGGCAAUCUUCUGGAACACUACUGACGCUGAGGCGCGAAAGCGUGGGGAGCAAACGGGAUUAGAUACCCUAGUAGUCC
rnacentral:rRNA from 1 species